rnacentral:lncRNA from 1 species
UUUGAGUUCUGGAUAUUAAUUCAAUAAAGGAAAACCAUCUCAAACGAUUUUUUUUAUUCCUAGAAUUAGUAUUCUAAAGAAAACUUCUAAUGGAAAUAUAAAAACGCGAAAUUUCCUUUUUUGGAUUUUUGAUUUACAACACAUUUUUCAAAUACAAGAUAGGAAAUACAAUAACGAAAGACUCGGCAAACUUAACUAGACUAUGACAGACUCUAACAUCACCUAAAAGACUCAACAUUACUGUACAAAGCUAGAAGGUAAAAGAUAACAUAAAAAGAAAAACAGACUCAAAACAUAAUAAAUAACAAAAAUCUCCCUAAGCAACUCCUGAACGAGCGACCCUGACUAUAUGGUCCUAGGGCGUUUGUCAUGCUCAAACUCCGAUAAGCAGAUCCACACCUGUAUGAGAAAAUUAAGACCAAAUAAGUUAAAGACCUAGAACACUAUGUGAGACAAUAACACUUCCUGUUGGACAUAUGCAAGACAUGAUUGGAGCUAUUUUGCUAAAAUUAACCUAUAUGGCUAAAAGUGGCUAAAAAUGCAAGAUUUGGCUAAGACCACGCGAAUCCAAGAACCUAAGACUUACUAGGAAGACUGGACCCUAUGUGGGCUGUCUACGUAUCCCGCCCCGAAAGACGAGAAUCAGGUAUGCGUAGUUCGGACAGAUUGGAUACGGUCGAGAAAUAAUAAAAAAACAACUAAUUAAGAGAAAACAUAUUUUUGUCUUAUUUUUUAAAAAAAAUAAAGGGAAAAUGCAAAAUCUUUUUGGAUUUUUUUUCAUGUUUUUUUCUUUUGUCUUUUUCUUAAAAAAAAUGUAAAAGAAAGACAUAACUGGAUCUUUCUUGCUUUAUUUUCACACUUCACCCUCUUUUCUUUCUCAUUUACCCUCAGUCAUCAUUGGUCCGCCAAAUGACCCUUUUACCCUUAAAGAAAUGCAACAUGUAGCACAUAGGAUGCAUCAGGAUGGUCUUUUAUUUUUGGGGUACACUUGUCCUAGACGGACCCAACCCUUGUGUUGAGUCCCCUAAGUCAAAUGCACGUGAUACAACAAACGUUCCUACUAGGGAUCCGACAUGAGGUUAUAUUAUUCUAUGUUUAAACCUGGAUUGUGUUCUUGACCUGGCUUAUCUGAGCGGACUACUCGAGCCGAAGAGGGGACAGUGUACCAGGAGCACGAAAGUUUACCCGGCCUUGUUGCUGGCCCAGCCUCAUUUUAUUUGGUAUAACUUCUAACAGAAAAAGUGGGUCACGCGAACGUGUGCACCAUUUUUUUUAGAAGACUCAGAUGGGAAGCGUAAGAAGACAGUUUAAUAACUUUCAAUAAUAUCAAAGUGGUAAAUAAGCAGCAGUUAGCACAUUAGGUCCACAAAUACAGUAAUAUGAACAAUAAAUAAAGCCAAAUAAAUAUCACAAAACAAGCUCGAAUUCUUGAACCCUGAACCAGAAGUUUUGGGUUCUUAUCCCCAACAGAGUCGCUAGAGCUGUCACACCUCCUUUUUCUACCCCUGAAAGGGGAGUAUAAUGGAGUUUUUCCAAUUAAAGUGACAAUGAUCGAAACGGGAUUUAUUUUACAUUAAAUCAGAGUCGCCACUUGGGAUAAUUUAUGGUGUCCCAAGUCACUGGAUAAAAUAUCGAAUCGAGGAAGUUUGACUCUGUUAUACAGUCUGCGAAACACAAAAAUUCGGGUAAGGAAUUCUGUUAACCCGGGAGAAGGGGUUAGGCAUUCCCUAGUUCUGUGGUUUUAGCACGGUCGCUUUGAUCAUACCUGACUUAUUAAAUUAUCUAAUUACUUAUUUUAAAACCUAUGUUCAUUUACCUCAUAUCGCUUUUAAUUAAGAAAUUAUCCUAAUGUGAGUCACGCGUACGUGUACUCAUUUUAUUUGGCGCGUAGAAAUCAUGUCACGCGUACGUGUCCACAAUUAAUCACGCUUUAUUAAUAUUAAGAAAGUUUGGCCGAAGUUGCGCGAAUGCAUACCUCGAUUUAUUUUGAAAAUCGUAAUUAUGUCACGCGAACGUGUACACAGUUACGAUACUUAUUUAUUAAUACGCGCCUAAAGCAUACUAGCAAUUAUUCAAGUAAAUAAGUAACAAACAUUGAAGUUUUGAUUUUCAUUUCAGUUUAGCCCAAUGCCUCCACGACCAAUUUCCAACAAAGAAACACGCAAACAGUGGCAGAUAAGAACAGAAUAAACGAAGUCAAAAAUCCAAGCAAAGAAAGUAUCUAAGACAAAAUAGUCAUCUAAGCAAUUAUGAGUAAAUACAGAAAUCGAUGGUAAAUAAUCAAAAGCGAUUAAAACAUGAUCUCAGUCCACUUUGUAACAAUAGGAGACCAUUCUGACUCUACUGACCCACAAAAUUUAAAUAAUAAAAUACUACUAGUAGUACAUAAGCUUGAGAUUGAUGGGGAAGUCUGCAUUUGUUUUGACGUGAUGGACCUUGUAGACUUAGCCUUUAGAAACUUUAUUAAUUGAAAAUUUCUUUCACAUAAAAGAACAAAACCUUUUAUAUGUUAUGGACACUUUUAAGAAAAGAUGACGAGGAUGCUUAUUAAAGAAAUCUAAACUUAAGAAAAGUUCUAACAACAAAACCUCUUACUUAGAACUAUAAGAAUUUAAACUAAAAAUUUAAACUACUCAUCAAAAGCAUUUUAAAAAGAAAACUAAACACUAGAUGACAAUUCGGAUCUAACAUAGCUCAACACAAGUAGAGUGUAAGAAAUAGCAGAAGAGAAAUAAACGAGCCUAAGAAUAAACUUGACAUUGAUCCCAAUAACUAAGGAUAGUUUCAUGGAUUUAAUAGCAUAUUUUACUAUUGUACCACACAAAAAUGAAAAUAGUGAAAGGAGUGUGAAGAAUAAACCUCAGAUGAACUUCUUUAAUUUAGUGAAAGAUCCAAAAACUACAAGCAGAUCCGGCUUCUUUGAAUAAAAUCUUUCUUUAUUUUAAACAUGAAGAAACUCCAUUGAAGGUCACAUCUUUGAAUCAACGACCAAAACAACUGGCCAGAAAACUUGAGCUAAAUGUACGAAAAUCUCGAACCAAGACCGGAUCUCGAACGACAGUGGCGAACUCGACUCAAUCCGAACAAAUACCACAACAAAAGACCUUAACAAGGCCUGUUUUGUGACUGGCUUUGAAGGUGGCAAUAGGGUUUUUUUUAAGAGGGUGGGGUGACUGAAGCUUUUUGAGAGGAGACGAGGUAAGAAUCUGGCUAUGGAAACAAUGGAGAAAUCUCCAUUUUUGGGGAGGUGUCGCUGCUCCUCUUGGGGGAGCUAAAAUAGCUAAUAAAAGGGGUGAAGAAAACGGUGGUCCUCAGUCUUAGGUCUAGGGUCUCGGUUUUCCAAUUUUAUGGACUUUUCCUAUAAAAAUGCUCAUGGUGGAAAAUUCUUGGAACCUAAGAAACGUGUGAGCCCCUUUCAAUGUCACGUGAGAUGAAUGGAAGGGAUCUAAGUUUGUGAGGGUAGUGUG